rnacentral:rRNA from 1 species
UGGCGAAGGCGGCCUACUGGGCUUUAACUGACGCUGAGGCACGAAAGCGUGGGUAGCAAACAGGAUUAGAUACCCUGGUAGUCCACGCCGUAAACGAUGAUUACUAGGUGUGGGGGGACUGACCCCCUCCGUGCCGCAGUUAACACAAUAAGUAAUCCACCUGGGGAGUACGGCCGCAAGGUUGAAACUCAAAGGAAUUGACGGGGGCCCGCACAAGCAGUGGAGUAUGUGGUUUAAUUCGAAGCAACGCGAAGAACCUUACCGGGGCUUGACAUCCCAAGAACUGACCAGAGAUGGUCGGGUGCCCUUCGGGGAACUUGGAGACAGGUGGUGCAUGGUUGUCGUCAGCUCGUGUCGUGAGAUGUUGGGUUAAGUCCCGCAACGAGCGCAACCCUUGCUGUUAGUUGCUACGCAAGAGCACUCUAACAGGACUGCCGUUGACAAAACGGAGGAAGGUGGGGACGACGUCAAAUCAUCAUGCCCCUUAUGUCUUGAGGGGCGGGGGGACCACAACCGCGGAAAACAAAGGGAAGCACAAGCGGAAGCAGGAGCAAACCCACAAAAACGGUCACAGUUCAGAGUGUCGGCUGCAAAUCUCAAC